rnacentral:tRNA from 1 species
CUCCAGUGGCACGAUUGGUUAGUGCACAGUACUUAUAAAACAGUGUGCUUGUGAGCAAUGCCCAGGUUGUGAGUUUAAGUCUCAUCUGGAGCA